CGGACGGGUGAGUAACGCGUGGAAAACCUGCCGUAUACUGGGGGAUAACACUUAGAAAUAGGUGCUAAUACCGCAUAAGCGCACAGCUUCGCAUGAAGCGGUGUGAAAAACUCUGGUGGUAUACGAUGGUUCCGCGUCUGAUUAGCUAGUUGGUGGGGUAAUGGCCUACCAGGGCAACGAUCAGUAGCCGGCCUGAGAGGGUGAACGGCCACAUUGGGACUGAGACACGGCCCAAACUCCUACGGAAGGCAGCAG
rnacentral:rRNA from 1 species